UUUGAUGUCGUAAUUUGUUUUGGAAGAAAAUUUAAUCUCAACAUAGAAUUUUUUACCGACAGAUUUAUGGUCUUUUAAUAUCUACAGGUUGUGGAAACUAAGAUCAUUGUAACUCAAAUGAGAGCUUGGCACUUAGCAUAUAGACGCCACUAGAACCAAUCUGGAAUUACUGUGAGGUAAUUUUAUAUCUUGUUCAAGUUGGAGAAUUAAUAGCUAGCAUAUGCUUUCUUAAUGAUAUUUUCUUUUUCCAUGCAUCUUCAUAUUACCAAACCCUUCUCUUGUAGGAGAAACAGAUAUAGAGUGAUAAA
rnacentral:lncRNA from 1 species